UAGGGAAUCUUCCGCAAUGGACGCAAGUCUGACGGAGCAACGCCGCGUGAGUGAAGAAGGAUUUCGGUUCGUAAAACUCUGUUGUUAGAGAAGAACAGCGCAUAGAGUAACUGUUAUGCGUGUGACGGUAUCUAACCAGAAAGCCACGGCUAACUACGUGCCAGCAGCCGCGGUAAUACGUAGGUGGCAAGCGUUGUCCGGAUUUAUUGGGCGUAAAGCGAGCGCAGGCGGUCAAUUAAGUCUGAUGUGAAAGCCCCCGGCUCAACCGGGGAGGGUCAUUGGAAACCGGUUGACUUGAGUGCAGAAGAGGAGAGUGGAAUUCCAUGUGUAGCGGUGAAAUGCGUAGAUAUAUGGAGGAACACCAGUGGCGAAGGCGACUCUCUGGUCUGUAACUGACGCUGAGGCUCGAAAGCGUGGGUAGCAAACAGG
rnacentral:rRNA from 1 species